rnacentral:rRNA from 1 species
UACGAAGGUGGCAAGCGUUACUCGGAAUUACUAGGCGUAAAGGGCAGGUAGGUGGUUUGGUAAGUCUAUUGUGAAAGCUCCCGGCUCAACUGGGAGAGGUCAAUGGAUACUGGCUGAACUUGAGUAUAGGAGAGGUUACUGGAAUUCCCGGUGUAGCGGUGAAAUGCGCAGAGAUCGGGAGGAACACCAAUGGCGAAAGCAGGUAACUGGACUAUUACUGACACUCAGCUGCGAAAGCUAGGGGAGCAAACAGG